GAUGAACGCUGGCGGCGUGCCUAAUACAUGCAAGUCGAACGAACACACGAUGAGCUUGCUCCUCUGCCGUUAGCGGCUGGCGGGUGAGUAACACGUGGAUAACCUUCCUCUUUUUCUUGGAUAACUUCGUAAGACCGCUUCUAAUACCGGAUCAUAUAUUGAACCGCAUGGUUCAAUAGUUAUACACGCUUUUGCUGUCACUUAUAGCUGGAUCCGCGUCGCAUUAGCUAGUUGGUAAGGUAACGGCUUACCAAGGCAACGAUGCGUAGCCGACCUGAGAGGAUGAUCAGCCACACUGGAACUGAGACACGGUCCAGACUCCUACGGGAGGCAGCAGUGGGGAAUAUUCGGCAAUGGGCGAAAGCCUGAUGGAGCAAUGCCGCGUGAGUGAAGAAGGCCUUCGGAUCGUAAAACUCUGUUAUUAGGGAAGAACAACAGAAGAAGAAAAUACGGAUGUUCUGACGGUACCUAAGCAAUAAGCAACGGCUAACUACGUG
rnacentral:rRNA from 1 species